rnacentral:rRNA from 1 species
UACGUAGGGGGCAAGCGUUGUUCGGAAUUACUGGGCGUAAAGCGCGUGUAGGCGCUACGCAAGUCGGAUGUGAAAUCCCGUGGCUCAACCACGGAAGUGCACCCGAAACUGCGCAGCUUGAGUCUCGGAGAGGAAGGUGGAAUGCUUGGUGUAGAGGUGAAAUUCGUAGAUAUCAAGCGGAACACCGGUGGCGAAGGCGGCCUUCUGGACGAUGACUGACGCUGAGACGCGAAAGCGUGGGGAGCAAACAGG